CCGGGUCCUGAGUGUCCUUGUGCAGGGUUCUCGGGAGGCCCCAGGCCGGCUACAUGGGCAACACCUGGGCGAGAUGCCUCGGUGACCGACCGACCACUCAUACUUCAGAGCCCUACAAGGCAGGCCAAACCCAUUUGAAACGACAACUGUCACUACUAUAAACGCGCGUGAUUGCUCCGGGAGGGGGUAACGUGACGCGCUGGAGACACGGGGCGACCACAGCCCUGGGCCCGGCUCCUUGCACCAGGGGCCAGCCGUUGGUGACCCGGCUCCGACCGAGGGUCGAGAACCAUCACCCAAGGAGAUCCAAAGAAGGAAAGCUCCACGGGGACAGAAUGAGCCUGGCGUUACCUGUCUAGCUUAUGACCUUUUCCCUUUCCUUUCCCUUUUUUUUUUUUUUUUAACUGUCCUUCAAGGGGGCUGAAAAGCAAUUUUCAUGCUACGGCUCUAAAUAUCAGUUUAUCCCUCUGACAGGGUUCUGAGCAUGCCCAGUAGGGAUGAUUUAACACCGCGCUGAUGACUUGCAACAGAAGAUCGUCCUGUGAGAAGAUUUCUACACGCAGAAUAUUCGUCAAGUAUUAAAUCUAAAUAGACAUCCAAUCCUAAAGAGGAUGAAAUAUGUGAGAAAGUACACGAUGAUCAGUCUCGAGCAGCAUAGCAGAUAAUGCCCCCGUGAUACUUUGGAGACCGUGUGAACAAUUAAGGGCUAAAAGGUAGAAGGAGAGACUACGUAGAGCACUAACAUGGGGCUCUGGAGGAUCUGGGUUGAGUCCCAGUUUACUUGCUACAUGGCCUUUAGGU